GACAGAGGGUGCAAACGUUGCUCGGAAUCACUGGGCGUAAAGGGCGCGUAGGCGGCAAUUCAAGUCAUCUGUGAAAUCUCCGGGCUUAACCCGGAACGGUCAGGUGAUACUGUUUUGCUAGAGUGCGGAAGGGGCAAUCGGAAUUCUCGGUGUAGCGGUGAAAUGCGUAGAUAUCGAGAGGAACACCAGAGGUGAAGACGGGUUGCUGGGCCGACACUGACGCUGACAGCGCGAAAGCCAGGGGAGCAAACAGG
rnacentral:rRNA from 1 species